GAAUAAUCUCUGAUUGAGCCCAAUUAUCACAGCAGACAUAUCUGACAGAAACAGAGGGGGAGAAAAAAUGAGGAAGCCUUCUCUGGAGAAUGAGAUCUAGGAGUUUAUCCUCAAACGCAGAGUAACACCAUGCUGUGUCAGCAGUCUGGUCUGAAACAUGUCAUGAAUCCAAGGGAACGGUGAUGUUGUCCAACCAAUGGAAGGAAAACAGAGAGGGAGAAAAUGAAAGAGAAAGAGAGUGCAUUGUGCUUCUAGCAAACUGACAAUUCCAGUGACUCUGUCAGACAGCAGUUGACUGCUACUCUGCUAUUCCUGUUAGAGGGCUGAACCCACUCUGCCUUGUUGGCACAGAUAUUUUUAGCCCUGGCGUUUGGCAGAGAGACCAACACUAAGAGUGAUGGGGCCACACAGGCCUGCAAAAGGGCAGCAGUGGGAUGAAGAGGGCGGAGGCGGGCAAGGUCACAUGCGAGCACUGGAGACGAGAGACUGGAGGAUGAGGUCCAAAUUUUUUG